rnacentral:lncRNA from 10 species
AGCAACUGUCCAUUUGGAUUCUGGGGUGGAAACUGUUUUCUCUGUUUUCUGACCUUUGCUAUGGGUUACAGGUUGAAGGCUUGAAGGUUUUCAGGUGUUUGUAGCAGAAUAUUAAGGCAAAGAUCAGGAGAGUAUCUUGUUCCGAAGAAGGCAAGCAGCAAAUGUGGCACGUGAAGACUUCAAAAACUCUUGCAUGCCAAGCCUUUCCUUUAGGCGCUGGGCAGGAGUUAGUGCUGUAGGGGGUGACUUCCUCCUAGGAGCCAGCCUGUCAACUUCCAGGCCUUUUUUGUGUGACAUCUGCUCUAGCAGCCAGGAGCUGGGUCACAAGCUUCCUUUUUGUCAUGCUUCUGUGCAGGGUGGUCCAGAGGCAAUAGGAAGAGGAACAAGGGAGGGAGAAUACUGUGUAUGCAGAGUUUGAGUGAUGUCUUCAGGGCUUGGAAAAAUGUAAUUCUGUUUGAGCAGUUUGCAGGCAGUUUUGCAACUCAUCCCCCUGAAUUAGGGACCAAAUGAAGUCAUUAGGCCCUAAUUAAAAGCAGCUAAUCAGAAGUCAGUGGGAGCUCUACCAAUUAAUCGCGGCUGGAACCCAACAAGCUGAAGUACCCAAGGCUGGAUGAAUAAAAGUAAUGAAAUUAGUAUCAGUGCUGUGCAGUACUGCACAACUUCAAGAACAGGUUAUGGGCUGCUCAGCUCUUCCUGCCAUAUCACAAAUAGAGGCUCAUUGUCAAAACAUAGAUGAGUUGGGAAGCAGCUUUUGAGCUUGCCCUGAGCUUUUUGUAAGUCAAGAUGUGUGUAAGCCAGAGUCAAAAGUGGAAUCAUGAAAAAAACAGAUGAAAGGUGAUUUUUUAAGGUGUGAUAAUAUGACCGAAAUAUCUCUUUCACAGCUUGUAAAUAAUUUAUACCCAGAUUCUUUGUUGAUGUCCUAUUCUUUAUUCUUUCGCCUAAAUUGCAAAGACAAGAGAUUGUUUCAGGUGAGUCUCUUGUCCUGUACUCAGCACCACACCUGGUGCAAGGUAACUGCUAAAUAAACAGCAUUUAUUUAAUUAAUUUGGGUCAGAGAAAAAAUUUGAACUGAGAUUUUUUUAAUUCCAAAUUUUGCACACCUUUUCCUAUACGACUUAAGCAGAAGGAUUCAGUGCCCUUUUCUAAUCAAAAUAACAAUUGUUACCUGCUAGCAGUUUUUGGUCCAGAAAUGUUCACGUACUUUGGAUUACAGCUUUAAGAUCUUAGAAAACAGAACCUCAUGUCCAAAAUUUAAUUUCACAGGUGAAGAGACAAGGGCCAGGGAGUGAGAGGAAUUUGUCCUAGGUCCCCCAGCAAAUUUGUGGCAGAGAUAAGACUAGAGCCGAUGUCCUGACUCAAGGUUCAAUUGUUUCCCUCAGCACUUGGCCCUUUGCUUUCAGUAUUAGCAGUCGUCCUUUUUAUUUUAUUUUAUAUUAACUUCAGGGAUACACGUGCAGGAUGCGCAGGUUUGUUACAUAGGUAAACGUGUGCCAUGGUGGUUUGCUGCACCUGUCAAUCCAUCAUCUAGAUAUUAAGCCUAGCAUGCAUUAGCUAUUUUUCCUCAUGCUCUCCCUCCCCCUGCCCCCCACCCACCCAACAACAGGCCCCAGUGUGUGUUGUUCCCUGCCCUGUGUCCAUGUGUUCAGCUCCCACUUAAAAGUGAGAACAUGCGGUGUUUGGUUUUCUGUUUCUGUGUUAGUUUGCUGAGUAUAAUGGCUCCAUCCUUGUCCCUGCAAAGGACAUGUCCUUGUUCCUUUUUAAGCAGUCAUCCUUAUUAAGUGUUAUCUUUUUGUCCUCUGAGAUUUCUAGAGCUAUUAGUCUGUCUAAAUUGAGGCCAAUUAAAGAAUUGCAAAAGUGUUUCUAGAGUCUUUGUUGGUGGCCAGGGCAGUUAGUCUGGGACACGAGGGAGGCAGGAGCCAUCUAGGGCAGAGGGAUUGUCUGCACUAGGACAGCUCUGUUAAAAAGGAGGACUUUUUUGUUUAUGGGAAGAUUUCCAUAAAGAUGAUCUUCUGAGUGAAGGCUGGGCUUUAAGACGAAAUGAGAGACAGUGUUGGUGGAAGAAGAGAACUUAAGGCCAGAAGUUGUGUGUGUGUGUGUGUGUGUGUGUGUAUAAUUAUGCCUGAAUAUGUUUUAUUUAUUAUAGUCUAUGUGUGAUUUUGUAUUUGAAAGUAGAUGCUUGAUUCUACCACAAUUAAAAAAAGGAUAUGCUUGGAUUUGUCUGUAGUAUGUGGGUGUGGAGGAGUUCAUUUGAACACGGGCAUUUUUGUGUGUCCAGGACGUAUCAACAGCCUCCUUAGAGGUGUCAUAUGUGCAGGGAAUACUGAAGAGAGUGCAUUAGUCUACAUGUCUCUCUAUAUAUUUUUUCUUUUUGUGUGUGUCUGGUUUUCCUAGAUUUCUCUCUUGCAUGUUUGUGGGUAUGAGAGUCUGUUAGUAUUAAUAUGUGAAUGGGUGUGUGCUAUUUGUCUGGGGAGGAUGAUUUAGGCAAGGAUUUGAAAGUGUGCAUUUAGAAAUUGAGGGCAUCUCUGUGUUAUUAUGAGUGUAUGUGUGUUUGUGUGUGCAUUUUAGAGUGGUUGGUUAUCUGUGUGUAUUUGCAAGGAGAAGGGGAAUUCAGUGUGUUUCUGUGUUUGUGUGUUUGUUUGUGAAUGGUAUGUUUUGCAGAGGAGUGUACUUUUUAUGUUCGAAAGUUAGGCAAUCAUGUAAUUUAUCAUCCAAAUGGGGAUACAUUUGAGAAUGAAAUAUAUAUGUGUGUGAAAGGAUGUCUUUGAAUGUACUUUUAAAAAUGCAUUUAAUUUUGUGUGUGUUAUUGGUGUCAGGAAUUAAGAAAAAGAAGAGAAGUACAGGAGAUAUCAUUAAAUUAUAUAGUUCUCUCUUCGACUGUAGCCUUAUAACAGGGACAUUAAUAGAAUUAACAGGUAAGAACAGGUCAGCCCCAAAGAUGUGUGCGUGUGUGUGUGUGUGUGUGUGUGUGUGUUACCAGAUCAAUGAACUGAGAAAAGAGGUCAUACAUAUCUUGUGGCGACAAAAACCCAUAUGGUUAAAAAAAAAUCAGCACAGUAAGUAAGGGAAGAAAUGUGAACUACAUUGUGCUAGAAAGUGUCUUUUAUGUACAACAUCUGCUUUGCUAUGUCCUCUUUAUGCUUCCUGCCUUGUUCCCCAUGAGUAACUCUGGCUUGUGAUGGCCAAGAUAGCUGAGACCUUUCAUUCUCUUACCUCCAAAGUUUGGAAAAAUAACUCAGUGUGACCUCCAUCAGGUAAGAGAAAGAAAGAGGCUAGGGAGAGUUGGCUGCUUCAUUUCAGGUGAGUCAGAAAAGAAAUCCCAGGGAUGCUCCUAGUAGUCUCACUCUUUUUCAGAGUGUAGCUUCUGACUCCCUGGUUUAUACAUGCACCCCCUGGGGUUGGGAAAUUCACUUGCUUAGUUCUCACUGGCUUUGUGGGAUGUAGUGAAGAGACUAGAAUGUUACUGCUUCUACUCUACCAUGUCGGUGUAGCAGUUUCUCAGUGGCUUCAUCCCCCAGUCAUCCCUUUUUUAUGUGCACUCUAUAUGCUCAUCGCAGUGGAAUGACUGCAGUCACUUCUGAAUGUCAUAAUAGUGCUAGUAGCACUGCUAGUAGUACCAGUUGUGUGGUGUAUUGGAGAUGGCCACAAAUUCAUUGUCAACCUCUCAUUGAAAGGUGGAAUCUAAUUGUCUCCCUUGGAAUCUGGGAUGGCUGUCCUACUUAUUUGACCAACAGAAUUUGUCAGAAGGGACUUUCUGUAACUUCUGAAGCUGUCUCAUAAGAAGCCUUGCAGAUUCUGCUCAUGUCUCUUUCCUCUCUGGGAAACAAGUCGCGACUCAGGGAUAAGCCUGAGACACAUGGAGAGAACAUCCUGAUCAAUCUGGUCUUUGCUGCUACCCUGGUCAACAGCCUGAGCUGGAUACCUGGCUGACAAGUACCACCUUUUUCCUACACAGAUGACAACCCAGCCCAUGAGCACCAGGAAAAUUAAACAAAAAGCCGAAAGAAAAAAGAAAAGAAGAAGUCUGGGAGUGAAGUUAUAUGCUUAAAGGCAUGCAUCUAGCAAAUGGCAAAAAAAAUGGAUGAAGACACAAGACUGAUUGUCACUAAAAACCAUGUGGUAUGUUUGAGCAAGGUCAGUGCCACGGUAGAACCACUUGUGACCACAUGCCAGCUAUGGGUAUAACUAAAAAACAUGAGUAGUCAGAAAUCAUUUUCCAAUUAUGUCCCUCCGUUUGUUUCACUCCAGGGAGUUGUAUGUGAUCUUUUUCUCUACUGAAUUUCAAGACAAGGAUUUUGUACCACUUUUCUGAAACUUCUCUGAGAUGUCUUUCAUCUCACGUCUUUUUGUUUUAUUUAAUUUUGAGAAUCAAACUAAGUCCCUCUCAUUUAUGAAUCCUUCUCUGAAUCCACCACUGAAAGUAACUUUCUUCAUUUACUUAUUAUAGAAUCCUGUGUUUUUUAUCAAUCAUUUGACAAUUUGCAACUUGCCUUAAACCUAUGUAUUAGGGUAUUAAAUAUUUUCUAUUUAAAUAUUUAUUAGGAUACUAAAUUAGUUUAACUCAAGGGAUAUUAGGGUUGAUGAUAGAGAUGUGUGAGGCUGAA